rnacentral:rRNA from 1 species
AGAGUUUGAUCCUGGCUCAGAUUGAACGCUGGCGGCAUGCCUUACACAUGCAAGUCGAACGGCAGCACGAGAGCUUGCUCUUGGUGGCGAGUGGCGAACGGGUGAGUAAUAUAUCGGAACGUACCCUAGAGUGGGGGAUAACGUAGCGAAAGUUACGCUAAUACCGCAUACGAUCUACGGAUGAAAGUGGGGGAUCGCAAGACCUCAUGCUCAUGGAGCGGCCGAUAUCUGAUUAGCUAGUUGGUGGGGUAAAAGCUCACCAAGGCGACGAUCAGUAGCUGGUCUGAGAGGACGACCAGCCACACUGGAACUGAGACACGGUCCAGACUCCUACGGGAGGCAGCAGUGGGGAAUUUUGGACAAUGGGCGCAAGCCUGAUCCAGCAAUGCCGCGUGAGUGAAGAAGGCCUUCGGGUUGUAAAGCUCUUUUGUCAGGGAAGAAACGGUGGACUCUAAUACAGAUCACUAAUGACGGUACCUGAAGAAUAAGCACCGGCUAACUACGUGCCAGCAGCCGCGGUAAUACGUAGGGUGCAAGCGUUAAUCGGAAUUACUGGGCGUAAAGCGUGCGCAGGCGGUUGUGCAAGACAGAUGUGAAAUCCCCGGGCUCAACCUGGGAAUUGCAUUUGUGACUGCACGGCUAGAGUGUGUCAGAGGGGGGUAGAAUUCCACGUGUAGCAGUGAAAUGCGUAGAGAUGUGGAGGAAUACCGAUGGCGAAGGCAGCCCCCUGGGAUAACACUGACGCUCAUGCACGAAAGCGUGGGGAGCAAACAGGAUUAGAUACCCUGGUAGUCCACGCCCUAAACGAUGUCUACUAGUUGUCGGGUCUUAAUUGACUUGGUAACGCAGCUAACGCGUGAAGUAGACCGCCUGGGGAGUACGGUCGCAAGAUUAAGACUCAAAGGAAUUGACGGGGACCCGCACAAGCGGUGGAUGAUGUGGAUUAAUUCGAUGCAACGCGAAAAACCUUACCUACCCUUGACAUGUCUGGAAUCCUUGAGAGAUCAGGGAGUGCUCGAAAGAGAAUCAGAACACAGGUGCUGCAUGGCUGUCGUCAGCUCGUGUCGUGAGAUGUUGGGUUAAGUCCCGCAACGAGCGCAACCCUUGUCAUUAGUUGCUACGAAAGGGCACUCUAAUGAGACUGCCGGUGACAAACCGGAGGAAGGUGGGGAUGACGUCAAGUCCUCAUGGCCCUUAUGGGCAGGGCUUCACACGUCAUACAAUGGUACAUACAGAGGGCCGCCAACCCGCGAGGGGGAGCUAAUCCCAGAAAGUGUAUCGUAGUCCGGAUUGUAGUCUGCAACUCGACUACAUGAAGUUGGAAUCGCUAGUAAUCGCGGAUCAGCAUGUCGCGGUGAAUACGUUCCCGGGUCUUGUACACACCGCCCGUCACACCAUGGGAGCGGGUUUCACCAGAAGUGGGUAGCCUAACCGCAAGGAGGGCGCUCACCACGGUGGGAUUCGUGACUGGGGUGAAGUCGUAACAAGGUA